rnacentral:rRNA from 1 species
UACGUAGGGUGCGAGCGUUACUCGGAAUUACUGGGCGUAAAGCGUGCGCAGGCGGUGAUGUAAGACCGAUGUGAAAUCCCCGGGCUUAACCUGGGAACUGCAUUGGUGACUGCAUCGCUCGAGUAUGGCAGAGGGGGGUAGAAUUCCACGUGUAGCAGUGAAAUGCGUAGAGAUGUGGAGGAAUACCGAUGGCGAAGGCAGCCCCCUGGGUCAAUACUGACGCUCAUGCACGAAAGCGUGGGGAGCAAACAGG